UAAAAAGAACUCAAAUUGUCUUACUUCUGACUAAUCAUUGGGCUUGUUAGAUUUUAUAUACUUUGUGCAUUUAUCAUUUCAGCACUAAUGCAUAGAAAUUUAUUUUUUGUUUUUUUUGUAGAUAAAAAUUCGAAAAAUUUAUUUACAAAUCAAAAAUUUGAAAAAUUUCUUCAAAAAUUCGAAUCCUAUACCCCCCAACCUCGAUCAGACAUUGUCCUUAAUGUUCUUUUUUUCUUUUUUUUGAAUAUUAUGUUAUUAUUUUUAUUUUAUUUUAUUUUAUUUUAUGUUGGACGAAAAUAUGAUGCAUAUGGAGGAUAGAAACAUUUUACCUUAGUUGCAUCAGUAAUAUGAGGAUUCCUGUUAAAAAAAAGCGACAAGAAAAUAUGCAAAAAUAACCUAUGAGAAUUGGGUUGCCUUCCAACAAGCGCUAAGUUUAACGUCUUUAGCCAGACGCAGUGCAUCCUUAAUUAUCCCGAUAAAUAGGAUCCAUCAAAUCAAGGAAUUCAAUCAACUGUUCAUCUGCAACACACUCUAUAUAAGGUUUCAAUCUUUGACCAUUGAUGUUCAGGAUACGACCAUCACUGAUGUUUUGAAUUUCUACUGCACCAUAAGGAAAAAUCUUUUUAACUAAAAAGGGACCAUCUCACCUAGAGCGAAGUUUACCAGGAAAGAGACAAUUUAGAAUUGAAUAGCCAAACCUUUUGAUUAGGCUCGAAAGACUUACGGUUAUGUAUUUGUCAUGAAAAGCCUUAGUCCUUGCCUUGUAUAUUUUGGCAUUUUCAUACGCCUCAUUGCGUAACUCUUCAAGCUCAU
rnacentral:lncRNA from 1 species